UUGUGCAAUUCAUAUUACCAUUCCUUCUUGCUGUAUUCGUUAAUUUGGUUUCCCAUGUGCACACUACAAUAAAAGGUUUUCAAAAGGACAUAUACUGGGUUUGAAUUUUAUGCAUAGGUAUUGACUGUGUUGUGAGUUCAGGUUGAGAAUGUGAACCUACUACCUAUGCAAUAAUAUGUACAGCUUGGUAAAAUCCGUGAAAAGAUUUGGCAUAAAAAAACAAAGAUAAAAGUAGGGUUCGUGUAUACUAGAAAUCUAAUACUUUAAGCUGUAAAUGCGCGGGCUUUACUUAAAAAAAUGGGGGGACUAUUAAAAGUUGUUGGUUGAUUAGAGAUUCCCUUUCAGAGACUCUUCUGUUCUUUGUGUUGGAUUUUUGAAUGGGAAAGUUGUUCUUAUUUCAUUAACUUUACUCUGUUUUCAGGUUGCUUUGAUGGGCAAGGCAGAGUCACUCCAAAUGCAUCUUAAUUGAAUUACUGAAACUGCAAAUACUUACUCCAAAGGGUUGGAGCUAUGUUUUGACAGGGGCAAUGACAGCUUUGCUUCGAAAUCUUGAUCAUCGCAUCUCAAGCUAUUCAUCUGUUAUACGAAAGUCUGAGAUCGAAGAUGCAGAGGAAUGCUUGAAACUGUUUUCUAUGGACGAGGUGGCUAAAUUUAAUUAAAUGACCCUUCCUAAUGUCAACGACUUCAAAAACCACUCAAAAAGCCAGCCACGUAAUGAAAUCCACAAAGAACAUAUAGUGGUGCAGACAUUCCUCCUGAGAUCGGAAAGAUGUGCAGCUUGGAAGAAAUUAGUAAUCAAGACAAGGAGCAUUGAGUUCAUGCCAUUCUAUCUUUCUCUUCCAACCUUCUUGAUGAGUCUCUCUUUCUCUGCAUACGGACUUUUCAGAGAAGAUCCAUUCAUAUUUGUUUGCCGAAUCUGUGAAUGUCAAGCAGCUUGAGAGCAUAUUGUCAUCCAUUUCAACUUCCAUUAUCAGAUACCCUAUCCGCGGCAAAGCCAAACCACGUUCUCUCUCACUUUCUAAAUCCAAAGUCCAAACAAACAUAACAUUGACAUGGAUAAAGCAUACAGUGGCUACCGUUUGUAGUAAUGGUCAUAAACUUUAUGUAUAACACAUUUCCAGUUGUCUUUGUUGUUCUUUUGCAUAUUGUAUUGGUUAUGGAUUUCAGUGGUAUAAUGAAGUAUUACCACUGUUGCUUUCUUCCAUUGUUUUGGUAAUGGAUAUGUGAUUUUUACA